GCGCGAAAACUUUACAAUGCUGGCAACAGCGAUAAGGGAACCUCGAGUGCCAGGUUACAAAUCUGGCCGUCGAGAUGCCUAAAAAGCAUUUCAUAGCAAGGGCCGGGCAAGACCGGUGCCAGCCGCCGCGGUAACACCGGCGGCUCGAGUGGUAACCGUUAUUAUUGGGUCUAAAGGGUCUGUAGCCGGCCGGAUAAGUCUCUUGAGAAAUCUGGCAGCUUAACUGUCAGGCUUUCAGGAGAUACUGACUGGCUCGAGGCCGGGAGAGGUGAGAGGUACUUCAGGGGUAGGGGUGAAAUCUUGUAAUCCUUGAAGGACCACCAGUGGCGAAGGCGUCUCACCAGAACGGACCUGACGGCAAGGGACGAAAGCUAGGGGCACGAACC
rnacentral:rRNA from 1 species